AUGUCCCACGCGUGCACUCCGGGCCCGUCCACACCGACGACCGCUUGCUAAGCGUUGUCGGCC
rnacentral:sRNA from 1 species